rnacentral:lncRNA from 1 species
ACAUCCUUUUUAAGCUGCCACCAUUGCUUGGCUUCUCUGAUUAGCAUAAAGGCUGCGAAGGAGACUUUUUAUUUUUCGGUUAGGUCUUGGACAGAGAAAAACUUUUCUAUCUGCAAUAUCCAAACUUCUGUAGCCAAGGGGUUGGGGCCUCUUUCGAAGUGGGUUAGGUUUAGUCUUCUAAACUCGAUAAUGUUCUGGGAAAUGGAUUGUUUAGCUGGGCGAUAAUCGGGGGUUGUGAGAUGUUGAAAGUGAUUUGCUUGGUUUUUUCCUACUAUUGCAGUUAGACCCUGAAUAGUUCGGAUAAGCUUAAUAAACUCGACUCUGGUGGUAGAUCUUGGGCCUCAGGUCUCUCAGUUCUCUUUACGAAAGGUCUCUCUCGAGUUAUUUGGUCCAAUAAAAGAUAAGGGAGAACGAGUUGGUGGACUAGUUUUCUGGAAAGAAAAUAUCGUAAGUAUCUAAAGUAGUUUUCCUAAG